CAGUCGAACGGGUGUACAGAAGGGAAGAUUUCUGGUCGGAAGAUCUGCGUUUGAGUGGCGGACGGGUGAGUAACGCGUGGGCAACCUGGCCUGUACAGGGGGAUAACACUUAGAAAUAGGUGCUAAUACCGCAUAACGGGAGAAGCCGCAUGGCUUUUUCCUGAAAACUCCGGUGGUACAGGAUGGGCCCGCGUCUGAUUAGCCAGUUGGCAGGGUAACGGCCUACCAAAGCGACGAUCAGUAGCCGGCCUGAGAGGGCGGACGGCCACACUGGGACUGAGACACGUACCAGACUCCUACGGGAGGCAGCAGUGGGGGAUAUUGCACAAUGGGGGAAACCCUGAUGCAGCGACGCCGCGUGGGUGAAGAAGCGCCUCGGCGCGUAAAGCCCUGUCAGCAGGGAAGAAAAUGACGGUACCUGAAGAAGAAGCCCCGGCUAACUACGUGCCAGCAGCCGCGGUAAUACGUAGGGGGCAAGCGUUAUCCGGAUUUACUGGGUGUAAAGGGGGCGCAGACGGCGAUGCAAGCCAGGAGUGAAAGCCCGGGGCCCAACCCCGGGACUGCUCUUGGAACUGCGUGGCUAGAGUGCAGGAGGGGCAGGCGGAAUUCCUGGUGUAGCGGUGAAAUGCGUAGAUAUCAGGAGGAACACCGGUGGCGAAGGCGGCCUGCUGGACUGCAACUGACGUUGAGGCCCGAAAGCGUGGGGAGCAAACAGGAUUAGAUACCCUGGUAGU
rnacentral:rRNA from 1 species